rnacentral:rRNA from 1 species
UACGUAGGAGGCAAGCGUUGUCCGGAAUUACUGGGCGUAAAGCGCGUGUAGGUGGUGGGACAAGUCUGCUGUGAAAGCGCCUGGCUUAACCGGGCGAGGUCGGCGGAAACUGUCCGACUCGAGGACGGUAGAGGGGGGUGGAAUUCCCGGUGUAGUGGUGAAAUGCGUAGAGAUCGGGAGGAACACCUGUGGCGAAGGCGGCCCCCUGGGCCGGCCCUGACACUGAGACGCGAAGGCGUGGGGAGCAAACAGG